GAGUUUGAGGUGUCUGCCGCCGGCUCCCGUGGGGCCGGGCUGGAGGCCGCGGGUGAGGCCUGUGGUUAACCUCGCGCUGCCGAGGUCCUACCUCCUCGGAUCCAGUCUGAUUCCAGGCCGCUUCUAGGCCGGUGCCCAGCUGAGGCGGGAACGCUGCCGUUUGGUUGAGCGUGACUUUUAGGCUCUGUGAGGAAAAGUCGAGCGCACCACAUCGAGGCGCUAGCCGUUUGUUCUACCACGAGCUCACAAACUUCAGCCCCCAGACGGAGGCCGAAAGUUAAACCGGAACCAGAAACCUUCUGACUGCCCUAGGCCUGUUGUCCCUAUCGUCAUGGCCGCUGCCAUGCCGCUGUCUCCCAACACGUGACCAGAGUGGGCCGGGCCGCCAAUUCGUGCAGCCAUAUUUGCCACUUUCCUGGAGGCAGAGCGCAUGCGUCGCAGAACCGGAAAGUUUCCCUGAACAAGGCUGAUGCCUAAGUUCCUGUAUAGGCGUCUGCAGCACAGCAAUGCUCUCUCUACCAUUAAUGAUGACCGCUGAUGAACCUGUAUUUGACCAGCAUACUCCAAUCUUUAUCGGAAAUGUCUGGACCAACCGUCCUUACUAAAUCUAAAGACAGCCAUUUGUCAUCCCUCUGACUGCCUGUCAUCAUCUGCCUGGGAAAAUCUAUAAUUUUUGGCUUGUUCCUGACUCAACUGUGCAAUGAAUAAAUUUAUCUUUGGGUCACUCUGCUUGUCAGGAUCAAUAUUGAGCAGAGGUUGAAUAAAUUAGAAACUGAGAAAACA